rnacentral:rRNA from 1 species
CGGUAAUUCCAGCUCCAAUAGCGUAUACUAAAGUUGUUGCAGUUAAAAAGCUCGUAGUUGGAUUUCUGCGGGGACGGAGCGGCCGGACGCAACUUGCGUCUCGAGCUAGCGCUUUCCCCGCAUCCUGCCGCGAACCGUGCUACCAUUAGUUUGGUGGCGCUGGGGAUCGGCUCGAUUACUUCGAGAAAAAUAGAGUGUUCAAAGCAGGCCACACGCCUUGAAUAAGUUAGCAUGGAAUAAUGACUAAGGACUUCGGUUCUAUUUUGUUGGUGUUCGGGACUGAAGUAAUGAUUGAUAGGGACAGUUGGGGCGGUCUGUAUUCCAAAGCGAGAGGUGAAAUUCUUAGACCUUCGGAAGACAAACAGCUGCGAAAGCGUUCCGCAAGGAUGUUCCCUUUGAUCAAGAACGAAAGUUGGGGGAUCGAAGACGAUCAGAUACCGUCGUAGUCUCAACUAUAAACUAUACCAGCUAGGGAUCGGUCAACGUUUAAUUAUUCGACUUGAUCGGCACCUUAUGAGAAAUCAAAGCAUCUGGGUUCCGGGGGGAGUAUGGUCGCAAGGCUGAAACUUAAAGGAAUUGACGGAAGGGCACCACCAGCCGUGGAGCCUGUGGCUUAAUUUGACUCAACACGGGAAAACUUACCAGGUCCAGACAUAGUAAGGAUUGACAGAUUGAUAGCUCUUUCUUGAUUCUGUGGGUGGUGGUGCAUGGCCGUUCUUAGUUGGUGGAGUGAUUUGUCUGGUUAAUUCCGUUAACGAACGAGACCCCAGCCUGCUAAAUAGCGCGGCUGAGCUUUGCUCGGUGCGAGCUUCUUAGAGGGACUAUGAUGCGCGAUAGCACAUGGAAGUUUGGGGCAAUAACAGGUCUGUGAUGCCCUUAGAUGUUCUGGGCCGCACACGGGCUACACUGGCGCCUGCAACGAGCAUAUCAGCUGGCCCGAGAGGGUCUUGGCUAAUCUUUUGAACCGGCGCCGUGCUUGGGAUUGACCUUUGCAAUUGUUGGUCAUGCAACGAGGAAUGCCUUGUAAACGCGAGUCAUCAGCUCGCAUUGAAUACGUCCCUGCCCCUUGUACACACCGCCC